GCUUUGAUCAGUAUAAAUCUAGAAAUGAUUUUAGCUGGAUUAUUUUUCAAAUUGCUAUCAGAGGACUUGUGUGAGAUUUGAGAAAAGUUGAUAGGAAGAACAACUUAUCACAGGUUGCCUAACUAAGUAACUGAGUUAGCUUAUAAACAUUUCACACAACGUCUCAUUUGAGAGGCUGUGAAUAACUUAAUUCCUAAGGUAAAUAUGUCUGAAGAUAAUUUUGACGCCACUCUGUGCAGUUCAGAGACAUCAGAAGAAUCAGGUAGCCUCUAUGUGUCAGAGGAGGCAGGAAUAUGUAUCCAAUCACCAGCGCUUCAGUUGGAGAUAAAAGAUGCAUGGGCCGAAGAGACCCACUAUAUAAAACAAGUUUCCCAGGAAAAGCUCAUUAAACUGCAUGGAGAGUGGAAGGAGCUCAACUCCAAGUUAGUAGUGACGGUACUGAAACUAAGUGAUCUGAGGGAUGAGACAACCAGGCGGGAGGAAGAACUAGCCUGGGUCUGUCUGUUGAACAAGAAAAGUCUCAGGGAGAAAAAUGACACUUAUAUCAGAAAGCUGGAAGAGGAAAAGUUGGUUUUGAGUGAGGAGAAUAAAAAUAUGACUGCUGAGCUGGCCCGGAUCAAAUCUCUGAGAGAGAAACUAAGGACUGAAAUUGAAAAUUUGAAGGCAACAGUGAAUGAUCUACGGAAAAAUGAGAAGGUCCUUAAUGACAACCUCACUGCUGAACUCGACCAGCUAAAAUCUCUCAGAGAGGAAAAACAUGCAGAGGUUGAACAGCUGUGGGCAGCAUUACAUGGUCUUCAGGACAAUGAGAAGAUUCUGAACGAGCAGAACGAGAAUCUUACUGCUGAAGUGGCCCAACUUGAAAGUCUGAAUGAGAUAAACCAAGCAGAGAUUAAACAGCUGAGGGCAGCAGUGUAUGACCUCGAGCAUCACGAUGAGGAAGCUCAGCAAGACCACAGUGGUAAAGACGAGCUAUUAGAGAAGGUCGCCGAACUUGAACACCUGAAAAAGACCUUGGAAGUAAACAAUAAACAGCUUCAGGAUUUGGGGGAAAGAGAGACCUCUCUGUACGAGCAAAAUAAUACCAUGGGUGCUGAACUGACCUCGCUUAAAUUAAAGAUGAAAAUAAAACAGGCACUGAAUGAACAUUUAAUGGAAGAUGCUGAUUAUCUGCAGGAUCUGAGGGAGGAACAACAGGCAGAGAUUGAAAAGUUGAGAGCAGCACUGCAUAACCUUCAGGAAUACGAAGAUUUCCUGAACAAGCAGAAUGACAACUUUACAGAUGAGCUGGCGCAACUUGAGUCUCUGACAGAGAAACAAAAUGAGGAGAACAAAAACCUGAAGACAUCUGUGCAAGAUCUUCUGCAUCGGCUGGAGGAGGUUAGGCAACUAAUCUUGAAUAAAGAUGAGCCGAUAGCAAGGAGGUACGAGGAGGAGAUACUAGCAGAGGUAGCAAACUACAGAGAGGAAUGUAGGAUGGCUGAAAAUACAGAACAACUGGACUCACAUGAGGAGCAGGGUGAUGACAGCUUCCUGGUGACUACACCUGAGGAGCAGGGAGAUGAUAGCCUCCUGGAGACUACACCUGAGGAGCAGGAAGACGAUAGCCUCAUGGAGGCUACACCUGAGGAGCAGGGAGACGAUAGCCUCAUGGAGACUACACCUGAGGAGCAGGAAGACGAUAGCCUCAUGGAGGCUACACCUGAGGAGCAGGGAGACGAUAGCUUCAUGGAGACUACACAUGAGGAGCAGGAAGACGAUAGCUUCAUGGAGGCUACACCUGAGGAGCAGGGAGACGAUAGCUUCAUGGAGACUACACAUGAGGAGCAGGAAGACGAUAGCUUCAUGGAGACUACACAUGAGGAGCAGGGAGACGAUAGCCUCAUGGAGGCUACACCUGAGGAGCAGGGAGACGAUAGCUUCAUGGAGGCUACAUCUGAGGAGCAGGAAGACAAUAGCUUCAUGGAAGCUACACAUGAGGAGCAGGGAGACGAUAGCUUCAUGGAGACUACACCUGAGGAGCAGGAAGACAAUAGCCUCAUGGAGACUACACAUGAGGAGCAGGAAGACGAUAGCCUCAUGGAGGCUACACCUGAGGAGCAGGAAGACGAUAGCUUCAUGGAGACUACACAUGAGGAGCAGGAAGACGAUAGCUUCAUGGAGACUACAUUUAAGGAGCAGGGAGACGAUAGCCUCCUGGAGACUACACCCGAGGAGCAGGAAGACGAUAGCUUCCUGGAGACAACAGCUGCAGAACCUCCCGCUGCUGAGGUUCAGACCAGACGUUUGUGGCGUUGUUCUGCUAAAGGUCUACUGAAAGGUGCUUUGCAUGUUGGCCUUGCCACUGUAGGUAUAGGGCUACUUCUGCCUGUGGGUAUCCUGGACACCUUAUUGUCUGACAACGGCAAUACAAACACUAACUCCUUCCUGUUGGACUAUGCCCACCAACUGAUGGAGCCCUACAGUACCUUACGACGCACAGUUCCUCAUCCCAUCUAAACAAGACAAGCUACACAAACAGGCAAUUUUUGACCAACAUUUUAAAUCCCAACAACAGAUUCUGCAGUCAAGGUCCAGCUAAUUUCUAAGUUAUGUGUGCAUAUGAAUUAUGAAUCUAAAUAUCUAUCUAUAUAUUUUAAUAAUUCAUAUUUAUAAAUGCAAGGGCGGCACGCUGAUGGAGAGGCUGUCGCUUCACAGGAGACGGGCCUUUCUGUGUGGACUUUGCAUCGUCUCCACGUGUUUGCAUGGGUUUCCUCCCAAGACAUAGUUUAGGUCCAAAAGUCUGAAUGUGAGUGUGGACGAUGACCUCACACCUAAUGUGGGCUGGAAUAGACUCAUAUUGGGUGAGAGGUAUAGCUAAUGGAUGGAUGGAUUUCAAAAAGUCAAUUAAUAUCAUUUUUAAAAAAUGAUUAAAAAAGCAAAUCAAAAAAAAUAAUUUGGAAGUGGAAUUGAAUCUGUAAAAUCAAAUAGAUAAGGAAUGAAAUAGAACAGUAACACUUAUAAACUAUAUACUAUAUUCAUAAUAAUGACAAAGAUAAUAGGAACACUUUGUGUACAAAGAAAAAUAUAAUACAUUUAUGUAUGUACACAUUAUGUGAAAUAUUACUCUGAAGUUGCUCAACAAUAAUAAAAAUAAAAAAGGCUACAAAAGAAGCCAAUACACGGAGCAAAUUUUUAGAUGCAAUAUUUGUAUUUGUGAUGUAUUGUAUGUAACAUGUGAGAGAGAUUUGACAGCCAGAGUCCAGGGCCAGAAGGGAUAUGCAAUGAGUUUUAUAAAGGUUCAAUCACACAAUUGCCCCAUAUUCCACAGACAUUUAAUGAAGCCUCUAUGACAGUUCUUCCGAAGAAAGGGAAAGACUUAAUGCAGGUCUGUGUCUGUCUCCCUGCCUUGUGUGAAUACCUAUCCCUGCCCUGAUGUGUCCCACCUGUGCCUCAUUGUCUUCCCUGUCCUACUGUAUAAAUACCCACCUCCCCAGUCAGUUGCCACUUUGUCUUGUUCCUAGUGUGUUUUUUGACCUCAGCAUUACUUUUGACUCCUGCCUUGUUUUUGAAUACCUUUGUCUUUGUCCUAUUUUUUUGGACUCUGUACAAUAAAUCUGUUUGAUCUGAA